GCCUGGACGCCAUCUCGGCCUUUUGAGGAUGGAGUUCUGCUGCUGGAAUGGUGCUAGGCACGAGUGCAAUGUGACGUCUGAUGAACAGGUCUGUGCCAAAGGAAUGAGAACAGUUGCUGCUGGGGUCUUCAAGCUCAAGCAUCACACUCUUGACAUGGUCAGAAAGGCACUAAAAAGAACUGACUGGAAGUUGGAAUGGUGGACUUGAGUCUCUGACAUAUUUGGACUGGCUUUAUUUUUUUCUUGCUGUUGGAUACACAUUUUUACUUGUGGAUGGCAUGCUUGAGAAGCAGAUUUUGGAGACCUUUAAAAUAAAGCAGGUGUGAAGAGUUGGGUUGGCUACAGGUCCUGGAGCAAAGAGCAUUAAGCAAAGGCAGAUGUGUAACCCUGGAGAUUUCCAGGCAUUUGACUGCAGUCAUGCAGCUGACUGUUGAAAGGCAGCUGGAUGGAUGCUCAUGGAACAGAAGAUCAAAGAACUGUGAAUUUUAAUAAAUUUUUAUAAACCAUCUGAUCAAGUCUGCUUAUUUCAUCUUUAAUGGGAUGAAGAAAGGAAAAUGGGACAUCUUUGUUCCUAUUCAAAUGUUCUCCCACAGGUCCUGAGACCCUGAAACACGCACUAGCUCUUAAAUUCAUUUGUUCAUGUUUACGAGAAUAUAAACUCCAUGAGAGGGAUUUGGUCUGCUGUA